rnacentral:tRNA from 1 species
CAAAGAGUAGCUUAAACAAAGCACUCAACUUACAAUUGAGAGACGUUACCACCAUAACCUCUUUGU